rnacentral:rRNA from 1 species
AGACCCGAAACCCGGUGAUCUAGCCAUGGGCAGGUUGAAGGUUGGGUAACACUAACUGGAGGACCGAACCGACUAAUGUUGAAAAAUUAGCGGAUGACCUGUGGCUGGGGGUGAAAGGCCAAUCAAACCGGGAGAUAGCUGGUUCUCCCCGAAAGCUAUUUAGGUAGCGCCUCGUGAACUCAUCUCCGGGGGUAGAGCACUGUUUCGGCUAGGGGGCCAUCCCGGCUUACCAACCCGAUGCAAACUGCGAAUACCGGAGAAUGUUAUCACGGGAGACACACGGCGGGUGCUAACGUCCGUCGUGAAGAGGGAAACAACCCAGACCGCCAGCUAAGGUCCCAAAGUCAUGGUUAAGUGGGAAACGAUGUGGGAAGGCCCAGACAGCCAGGAUGUUGGCUUAGAAGCAGCCAUCAUUUAAAGAAAGCGUAAUAGCUCACUGGUCGAGUCGGCCUGCGCGGAAGAUGUAACGGGGCUAAACCAUGCACCGAAGCUGCGGCAGCGACACUUUAGUGUUGUUGGGUAGGGGAGCGU